UACAAGAAAAUAGUCACUACAACUUUGUGGCUAACAACUUUAUUGUAAAACAAAAGUCAAAAAGACAAAUUACCAGUUCAUGGAAUAUGUCUUUGUUGCUGCCCUACAUAUACCAGCAGUAAGUAAGUAAGAAUAUUAAUUAUGACACAGUAAAAAAAAAGUAUUUGAAAAUGAGGGUGAUCGAAAGUUCUCCUUCUUUAAAUACUUGUUUCCACCUUAAACCAAUAGCUCCCCAAUGUCGAAGUUUUGUCAGAUCGUAAAGCAAUAAGUGACCAAACUAAAACCUUUGUUAGUUAUGAAAUGUGUAUAUUCUAGUAUUUGAGCCUCAUAUAUACAUAAAAUGCGAAGUUGGUGGAAUAUAUCAAUCAAAGAUGCAAACAACCAAAAUACAAUUGGAUCAAUAUAUAUGUUAAUAAAAGUAUUACUUUUUGUCUGUUACUUUGGCCGUUAGAACUUUUCAAAACUCAACUCUUUUUAAGUCAAAAUAAGAAUAGAAAAUUGUCUGUUAAUAGAAAAAAAAUUGUAUAAUUGUCACCAAAUGCAAUUAAAAAAACAAAAAAAAAAGUUUCUAAAAAAACAAAUAAGCAUAGGUUAGCUCAAAAUCAACCAGUUUAUAUCUAAUUGGGUAUUUAAAAAACAUACAUAAAAAAAUCUAUCAUUUCAAGGCAAACAAUGCAUACAUGUACCAUUAGGUUUUCUUUUGUGUGAUAUCUCGAACAGUUUAUAAUGAACAUUAUACUAAGCUAUGUAACAUAAAGUUAAGAUAUAGUAGUGUUUUGUAUAGCGCUAUUACACUCUUGGAGGUCCUUGUGGUUCAGAUUGAUGUUCUUCGCCCUGUGGACGUGGUUGAUGAGCAUUUGGUCCCGGCUGGUGUCGUCCCUUAAACAUCUGUAUGGUAUAUGAAAGAAAGCAAAAUAUUCAAAUUUAUCAAAUAGCAUAAGAAUUAUUUAUACUAAAAAAAAUACAUUGUGUUUGCAGAAUAUAUAGUAAUUAUAUUACAAAUGGAUUCCAGCUACACAUUCAAAGUAAACCUCACACAAAAUAAGGGUCUUAAAUAUAGACACUUUUGAUAUGUAUCCUUUUAGAUUUGUAUAUGUUUUGCUUUAAUCACUUUUCGUGUCGAGUCUUCCUGAUGUUAAUGACAGAUAACUGAUAUUUUUGUUAAAUCAAUUCACAAGUUUUAACUUAUUUAUUUUUCUAACCUAUACGGGAAUAGAUUGCCUAAGUCGUAUUUUGGCACUUUUCUUCUGAAUUUUCGAUUUUUCAUUCCCUUCAAUGUCAUUUUCGAUUUGCCCUUUCGACUGUUCUGAUUCGAGCGCCACUGAUGGAACGCGCAUCUUGCGUACACAAUUAUAUACUUCUGGUAUCUUUGAUAAAUUUUAUUCAUAUUUUGGAUGAUUUAGAGAUGC
rnacentral:lncRNA from 1 species